rnacentral:tRNA from 3 species
GGGGGAGUUCCCGAGUGGCCAAAGGGGGCAGACUGUAAAUCUGUUACGUUAUCGUUUCGAUGGUUCGAAUCCGUCCUCCCCCACCA